AGAACGAACGCUGGCGGCAUGCCUAAUACAUGCAAGUCGAACGAACACUUCGGUGUUAGUGGCGCACGGGUGCGUAACGCGUGGGAAUCUGCCCUUGGGUUCGGAAUAACAGUUGGAAACGACUGCUAAUACCGGAUGAUGACGAAAGUCCAAAGAUUUAUCGCCCAGGGAUGAGCCCGCGUAGGAUUAGCUAGGUUGGUGAGGUAAAGGCUCGCCAAGGCGACGAUCCUUAGCUGGUCUGAGAGGAUGAUCAGCCACACUGGGACUGGAGACACCGGCCCAGACCUCCGUACGGGAGGCAGCGAGUAGGAAUAGUUGACAAUGGGCGCACGCU
rnacentral:rRNA from 1 species